rnacentral:rRNA from 1 species
UACGUAGGGUGCAAGCGUUGUCCGGAUUUAUUGGGCGUAAAGAGCUCGUAGGCGGUUAGACACGUCGGAUGUGAAAACUGGGGGCUCAACCCCCAGCCUGCAUUCGAUACGGUCUGACUAGAGUGUGGUAGGGGUAACUGGAAUUCCUGGUGUAGCGGUGAAAUGCGCAGAUAUCAGGAGGAACACCGAUGGCGAAGGCAGGUUACUGGGCCACCACUGACGCUGAGGAGCGAAAGCGUGGGGAGCAAACAGGAUUAGAUACCCUGGUAGUCCACGCCGUAAACGGUGGGCGCUAGAUGUGGGGACCAUUCCAUGGUUUCUGCGUCGCAGCUAACGCAUUAAGCGCCCCGCCUGGGGAGUACGGUCGCAAGACUA